GGAUGCGAUCAUACCAGCACUAAUGCACCAGAUCCCAUCAGAACUCUGCAGUUAAGCGUGCUUGGGCGAUGAUGUGUCCUAUUUU
rnacentral:rRNA from 1 species